GACGAACGCUGGCGGCGUGCUUAACACAUGCAAGUCGAACGGAAAGGCCCUGCUUUUGUGGGGUGCUCGAGUGGCGAACGGGUGAGUAACACGUGAGUAACCUGCCCUUGACUUUGGGAUAACUUCAGGAAACUGGGGCUAAUACCGGAUAGGAGCUCCUGCCGCAUGGUGGGGGUUGGAAAGUUUCGGCGGUUGGGGAUGGACUCGCGGCUUAUCAGCUUGUUGGUGGGGUAGUGGCUUACCAAGGCUUUGACGGGUAGCCGGCCUGGGAGGGUGGCCGGCCACAUUGAGACUGAGAUACGGCCCAGACUCCUACGGGAGGCAGCAGUGGAGAAUAUUGCACAAUGGGCGGAAGCCUGAUGCAGCAACGCCGCGUGCGGGAUGACGGCCUUCGGGUUGUAAACCGCUUUCGCCUGUGACGAAGCGUGAGUGACGGUAAUGGGUAAAGAAGCACCGGCUAACUACGUG
rnacentral:rRNA from 1 species